CCUACGGGCGGCAGCAGUGAGGAAUAUUGGUCAAUGGACGAGAGUCUGAACCAGCCAAGUAGCGUGAAGGAUGACUGCCCUAUGGGUUGUAAACUUCUUUUAUAUGGGAAUAAAAUGUUCCACGUGUGGGAUUUUGUAUGUACCAUAUGAAUAAGGAUCGGCUAACUCCGGUCCAGCAGCCGCGGAAAUACGGAGGAUCCGAGCGUUCUCCGGAUUUAUUGGGUUUAAAGGGAGCGUAGGUGGAUUGUUAAGUCAGUUGUGAAAGGUUGCGGCUCAACCGUAAAAUUGCAGUUGAAACUGGCAGUCUUGAGUACAGUAGAGGUGGGCGGAAUUCGUGGUGUAGCGGUGAAAUGCUGAGAUAUCACGAAGAACUCCGAUUGCGAAGGCAGCUCACUGGACUGCAACUGACACUGAGGCUCGAAAGUGUGGGUAUCAAACAGGAUUAGAUACCCGUGUAGUC
rnacentral:rRNA from 1 species